GGAGAACGUAAAAUCUUGAGUUAGAAAUGCCCAUUUGUUCAGAAGGCUGUGAGGGAACAAUUCUAUGAAUGUAGGUAACAAUACUAAGUGAUUAUUUUGACUGAAUGGUAUAUGAACCUUGCUACGUACCGUAAUUUGUGAUUUCUCACAGGGAAUGUGAUGCUGACACAGAAAGAAACAGCAACUGAGACAGGAGCAGGGGUAUACAGGAAGGAUUAAACACCAAUGUAUCUGAUCGGGCUGAUCAUGGAUCCUGUCUCUACUUUACAUUGCUCUGUGACAAAAACGGCACCCUGACCAAAGUCUUUCAGAGCAGAAAGGCAAAUGUCCUAGGUGACCACAGCUGAAGCAGCCGGGAUACACACAGAUGCAGGAUGUUACCCAUCUGGGGCAGCUUGCUG
rnacentral:lncRNA from 1 species